UGGAGACUAUCCCAUUCAACAUCAACUUGGUAGGAGAGACUAGCCUCUUUUACUCCUUAUUUCCCUAUCACUCUGCGACCUUUCACUUCUUGCCUCCAGCUGGCUGCAAGAUUGCAGCCAAGUUAUUUAAGCACUUGUGCCUUGGUUUCUCCAUCUGUAAAAUGGGGCUAUAAGAGUACCUACAGCCUAUGGUAGUUGGGAGAGUUCCAUGAGCUAAUGCACACAAAGCGUGGAACACGGUUCAGACAAAGUAACUGCUUAGAAAUGCUGUCUGUUAUUACGUGGGUCAAAUAAAUAAUGCCACUUAGAGAUUGCGCCAUCUCUGUCUCUAUUAGGCCACUGUGUGCUAACAUCUAUGUUAUAAAACUACAAGGGCACCGAACAUUUUCUUGGAGGAAGACGAAUCUUGGUUCCAGGCUCUUAUUCUCACAUGGACUUCAGGACUGGUCCCUCCUAAGGAAUGUGAAAAAGAAGCGUUCGGAUUCCAGGCUGCUCAUAAAUCUGCCUUCUGUGUUAUCAUUUUUUACCUGCCUACUUCUGUUUCUCCUGGGUUCGAAGGAAGUGCUUUACUUUAGAAAUGAUUCACUACCCCUGGGCCACCGACGGCUUUGAAAGCCACACGAGACAAGUUCCAUUUCAAACCCCCCGAUUUAUAAUCAUGGGGGAAAGCUGGCUGUUGUCUUGAGGGUUGUCCACGAUCUCACAAACCCAACCUUUGUUCCUCAUGUGCCCAUUUUUCAAAAACUUACUACUCAAAUCUCUGAAAGUCAUCGCCCCCGAGGAAACGUUUAUCUUUGGUUGGACAUCUUUUGCGCUGUAUCCCUUUUCAACUGUCCUUUCUAAUAUAGGAUAAAUGGCUCUGCGGGGUUUGGAGUGAAGAGUUACGUCUUGCAGCAUGUUUGUGAGUGUGUAGAAACCCUACUCCCCUCCCCUCUGCCCCUGGGCCAGAGAUGGGGGAAUAACCAGUUAAGACAAAUGGGUUUGGGCGAUGUUGUGGGUUGAACUGUGUCCCUCAAAAUUCAUGUUGAAGUCCUCACUCCCAGAACGUCAGAAUGUGGUCUUAUUUGGAGAUCGGGCUGUUGCAGAUGUAAUUAGUUAAGAUGAGGUCAUACUGGAGUAGGGUGAGCCUCUAAUCCGUUAUAACUGGUGUCUUUAUAAAAAGGGAAACUUUGGAGACAGACAUGGAUGGAGGGACAUUGCCAUGUGAAGAUGAAGGCAGAGAUCUACAAGUCAAGGAAUGCCUAAGACUGCCAGCAAGACGUCAGAAGCUAGGAGAGAGGCAUGGACACUUUCCCUCACCGCCCCCAGAAGGAACCAACCCUGCCGGUGGCCCCUUGAUUUCAAACUUCCAGCCUCCAGAACUGGGAGAUAAUGAAUCUCUGCUGUUUAAGUCACCCCAUUCGUGGCUGUUUGUUAUGGCAGCCACAUGGAAACGGAGGUGUUUACGAUGUUCGUCUAAAGUGAAUGGGGGAGGAGCAGAGCCCAGUGUGCAAACUCUGAGGUCACACAGCUGGGUUCAGAUCCUGAAUUCUGCCUUUCGCCAGCUAUGUGUAAAUUGGUGACAAUUGCUUCCCUUCUCCAAGCCUUCUUUGCGAUGUCAACAGACAGAGGGUCAGGCCCACAAACCCUGAUCUGCAACCCUUGGAGCCCUGUGUCUUUUGGAAUUCAGAAGACCAUGGAAAUGAGAAAGCAGGGAUUUAGAUGCUGAAAGGAAGGACUCAGAGCUUGGAAGCCCAGAAGAGCUUGUUUAUUCUUCAUGGAGAGUUGGGCUGGCAGGAGGUGAGCUGUCAAAUCUCUUUCAUUGCUUCUGGAAAAGACACCACCACACACCAAUGAGGGUGGCCAGCUGAGAUCUUGGACCAGGGCUGCCCGUCUCUGGAGCCCACGUUCCUGACCACCCUGCUUCCCUGCCUCCCACUUUGCCUUGCUGCAUCUCAAGGGCAGUGAGCAGAACGAGGGCAGGAUACUGUGGUCCUGGUUCAUUAACUAGCUGUGUCUCCUUGGGUCUGUCCCUCUGUUUCUCUUGGCCUGGUAAAGUAAGAGGGAUGGGUUAGAUAACCUCUACGAUUAUUUUCUGAUGAUUCCCCCAAAGAAGGGCGUUCUUGCAGCCAUCCAUCCAACAAACAUGUCUUGAGCUCCUCGUGGGUUCCAGACCCGGUACUGGGGUAUGGGGCUCUAAAAAAGAAGAAGAGAGAGCCCUGCAGCUGAGGAUUCCUACUCUAGAGGUGGACACAGACAGG
rnacentral:lncRNA from 1 species